AUAAAUGUGAUAUAUAUAUAUAGUUUGGACAUAUUAAAUUUGGUUAAGUGAUUAGUACAUGUAUAAUUGUUAUGCAUUGGAUGAUAGAUUGAUUGGUUAUGAGUUGAACUAAAUUACCGAAUGUAUAUAUAUAUAUUGUUGCUAAAUGAAAUAUAUGUGCAGAUAGAUACUAGCAAGUAUAUUAUACUUGUAUGGUGUAAUUUGGCUUUUGGUAUUAUAUAGAUUCGGUUAUGAUUUAUAAGUAUAGAGCUAUGUUUAAUCCAUAAACCUUUGAUAAUUAGUUUGAAAUGAU
rnacentral:lncRNA from 1 species